rnacentral:rRNA from 1 species
GACGAACGCUGGCGGCGUGCUUAACACAUGCAAGUCGAACGAUGGAGCUGGAGCUUGCUCCGGUGGAUUAGUGGCGAACGGGUGAGUAACACGUGAGCAAUCUGCCCUUGACUCUGGGAUAACUGCGGGAAACUGUAGCUAAUACCGGAUAUGAGGCUUGGAGGCAUCUCCAGGUCUGGAAAGACUUUCGGUCAAGGAUGAGCUCGCGGCCUAUCAGCUAGUUGGUGAGGUAAUGGCUCACCAAGGCGACGACGGGUAGCCGGCCUGAGAGGGUGACCGGCCACACUGGGACUGAGACACGGCCCAGACUCCUACGGGAGGCAGCAGUGGGGAAUAUUGCACAAUGGGCGAAAGCCUGAUGCAGCAGCGCCGCGUGAGGGAUGAAGGCCUUCGGGUUGUAAACCUCUUUUAGCAGGGAAGAAGCGAAAGUGACGGUACCUGCAGAAAAAGCACCGGCUAACUACGUGCCAGCCGCCGCCGUAA